rnacentral:rRNA from 1 species
AACGAACGCUGGCGGCAUGCCUAACACAUGCAAGUCGAACGAGACCUUCGGGUCUAGUGGCGCACGGGUGCGUAACGCGUGGGAAUCUGCCCUUGGGUUCGGAAUAACAGUUGGAAACGACUGCUAAUACCGGAUAAUGACGUAAGUCCAAAGAUUUAUCGCCCAAGGAUGAGCCCGCGUAGGAUUAGCUAGUUGGUGAGGUAAAGGCUCACCAAGGCGACGAUCCUUAGCUGGUCUGAGAGGAUGAUCAGCCACACUGGGACUGAGACACGGCCCAGACUCCUACGGGAGGCAGCAGUGGGGAAUAUUGGACAAUGGGCGAAAGCCUGAUCCAGCAAUGCCGCGUGAGUGAUGAAGGCCUUAGGGUUGUAAAGCUCUUUUACCCGGGAUGAUAAUGACAGUACCGGGAGAAUAAGCUCCGGCUAACUCCGUG